rnacentral:rRNA from 1 species
AUUGAACGCUGGCGGCAUGCUUUACACAUGCAAGUCGAACGGCAGCACGAAAGAGCUUGCUCUUUUGGUGGCGAGUGGCGAACGGGUGAGUAAUGCAUCGGAACGUACCGAGUAAUGGGGGAUAACUGUCCGAAAGGAUAGCUAAUACCGCAUACGCUUUGAGAAGGAAAGUGGGGGCUCUUCGGACCUCACGUUAUUCGAGCGGCCGAUGUCUGAUUAGCUAGUUGGUGGGGUAAAGGCCUACCAAGGCGACGAUCAGUAGCGGGUCUGAGAGGAUGAUCCGCCACACUGGGACUGAGACACGGCCCAGACUCCUACGGGAGGCAGCAGUGGGGAAUUUUGGACAAUGGGCGCAAGCCUGAUCCAGCCAUGCCGCGUGUCUGAAGAAGGCCUUCGGGUUGUAAAGGCCUUUUGUUAGGGAAGAAAAGGAUAGUGUUAAUACCAUGAUCUGCUGACGGUACCUAAAGAAUAAGCACCGGCUAACUACGUG